UACGUAGGUGGCAAGCGUUGUCCGGAAUUAUUGGGCGUAAAGCGCGCGCAGGUGGUUUCUUAAGUCUGAUGUGAAAGCCCACGGCUCAACCGUGGAGGGUCAUUGGAAACUGGGGAACUUGAGUGCAGGAGAGAAGAGUGGAAUUCCACGUGUAGCGGUGAAAUGCGUAGAGAUGUGGAGGAACACCAGUGGCGAAGGCGACUCUUUGGCCUGUAACUGACACCGAGGCGCGAAAGCGUGGGGAGCAAACAGG
rnacentral:rRNA from 1 species